GUAAAUAUCGUUAGAGAGGUGAAUAGCGAAAAUCAAAUAUAUAGUAUGUGUUAAUAUACGCGCGUGUGAUGUCGAAAACUAUAAGGUUUUUUUUGUCUGUUUUAUUAAUAUUAAGUUAAAAAUUAAAAUAAGUGUAGUGUAAAGUGAAAUGCAGAAAAAAUACAAAGUAUGCAGUAUGAGCUGACGAAAAAAUUUGGAAUGCAGAUAAUGAUACCACCAGAAAUCGAACAGAUAUGCGAAUUUGCUGACUAAAACUUUUUGAAUGAAAACGGG